GCCAGUAGCCAUAUCACCCUGCAACUCACAACUGGCAACCUACUUAAACUAAGCAGAUGUGAGCCUGCUCAGUACCUGGAUAGGAGACCUCCUGGGAAAAUCUAAGAUUGCUGCUGGAA
rnacentral:rRNA from 1 species